GCGUUAAAAUUUCAUGAUGACUUCACGAGCUUUGGAAUCAGGCAGCAAAAGGUGAUCAGUUAGAGCACUGAGUUUGGGAAUUAAAAUACCCCACACUGUUUCAGACACUACUCCAGAAAUCCAAAAUUGGUCAGUGUCUCAGUACUACACCCACGCCUACAGAAUAAUCCUUAAGGAAGAUAGAUACACAGAGAUAGAAAUGCAAGCCAAGAACUGAUAUGUACGAAUUCCUAAAGAAACAAUAGCAUUCACGGUUUAAAAUGAAAGCACAAUAUUUUGCAGUUUGAUAGGAAGAGAAUGUCAGCAGAACCUGACAUCAUAAUUUAAGAGGGCAGAGUGUCCAUAUCCAAGCAGGAAUAGUGGGUUCAUUUUUUGAAUCCCAAGAAAACAAACUCUCAUUAUCCUUCCUGUCUCACCCUAGCUAGAAAGGGACACAUCAACCCUAAUUUUACGUGCAGGUAAUCAUCAUUUAUAUUCACUGCUUCAGUGUUUGAUGUCUUUUUUUAUUUUUAUUUUUGCAUUUUUUUCUCACUCUAUUAAAUUUAUUUCAUUUAUUGUUAUAGACCGUGCUGACAGGGCUGAGCUUUUUUCAUUAUAUAUAUAGCUUCCCUUACUCACAUCUCAUGCCACUGUUCAAAGCUGAGCUGAACUCACAAGAAACACUCUUUCAGUUCAACUUCAACCACCUUUGUCUAGCUUUUCAAAAUGUCCUGUGUAAUGCAGGACGAGCUCUUGAAGCUCUUCCUCAUGAUUCCUCGUAAUGAAGGUCAACAUACUCCAAGUCCUAUCAUGUGGUAGAUGUUAAGGCGGUAUCUCUCCUGAGCUUAUUCUUCUUACAUUUUUUUUAUCGUUUUAUCAACUUUAUGAAUAAUGUUCAAGUUUUCUUGACCUUGCAAGUCCACAAGAAGAAAAGACUGGUCAAAAUUACUUGUAACUUUUUCAUAAAAGUAUGAGAUUUAGUAGAUUAGGUAGAAUAUUUUAGACGGUAGAUGUUUGAUCCUAUCCCUCCUUGAGCUUGAGCUUGUUGGUUUACCAUUUAUCUUUUAUUUAUGUGUAUUUUGCUUUGUGUAAUAAAUGUAAUCUUCUUUUCCUAAUCAGUGAAGAUAGUGAAUGGUUCAUACCAUCAUAUAUUUGUCUCU